UGAGUAACGCGUGGGUAACCUGCCUCAUACAGGGGAUAACAGUUAGAAAUGACUGACUAACACCGCAUAAUAUAGCGAAACCGUCAUGAUUUUGCUAUCAAAUAUUUAUAGGUAUGAGAUGGGCCCGCGUCUGAUUAGCUAGUUGGUGGGGUAAAAGCCUACCAAGGCGACGAUCAGUAGCCGGCUUGAGAGAGUGACCGGCCACAUUGGGACUGAGACACGGCCCAAACUCCUACGGGAGGCAGCGAGUGGGGAAUAUUGGACAAUGGGGGAAACCCUGAUCCAGCGACGCCCGCGUGAGUGAAGUAAGUAUUUCGGUAUGUAAAGCUCUAUCAGCAGGGAAGAUAAUGACAGUACCUGACUAAGAAGCCCCGGCUAACUACGUGCCAGCAGCAGC
rnacentral:rRNA from 1 species